GAUGAACGCUGGCGGCGUGCCUAAUACAUGCAAGUCGAGCGAACGGACGAGAAGCUUGCUUCUCUGAUGUUAGCGGCGGACGGGUGAGUAACACGUGGAUAACCUACCUAUAAGACUGGGAUAACUUCGGGAAACCGGAGCUAAUACCGGAUGAUAUUUUGAACCGCAUGGUUCAAAAGUGAAAGACGGUCUUGCUGUCACUUAUAGAUGGAUCCGCGCUGCAUUAGCUAGUUGGUAAGGUAACGGCUUACCAAGGCAACGAUGCAUAGCCGACCUGAGAGGGGGAUCGGCCACACUGGAACUGGAACACGGUCAAGACUCCUAAGGGAGGCAGCAGUAGGGAAUCUGCCGCAAUGGGCGAAAGCCUGACGGAGCAACGCCGCGUGAGUGAUGAAGGUCUUCGGAUCGUAAAACUCUGUUAUUAGGGAAGAACAUAUGUGUAAGUAACUGUGCACAUCUUGACGGUACCUAAUCAGAAAGCCACGGCUAACUACGUG
rnacentral:rRNA from 1 species